UACUAAUACAUGCAAGUCGAACGCUUUUUCUUUCCCGGCACCUUGCUCCACCGAAAGGAAAAGAGUGGCGAACGGGUGAGUAACACGUGGGUAACCUGCCCAUCAGAAGGGGAUAACACUUGGAAACAGGUGCUAAUACCGUAUAACACUAUUUUCCGCAUGGAAGAAAGUUGAAAGGCGCUUUUGCGUCACUGAUGGAUGGACCCGCGGUGCAUUAGCUAGUUGGUGAGGUAACGGCUCACCAAGGCAACGAUGCAUAGCCGACCUGAGAGGGUGAUCGGCCACACUGGGACUGAGACACGGCCCAGACUCCUACGGGAGGCAGCAGUAGGGAAUCUUCGGCAAUGGACGAAAGUCUGACCGAGCAACGCCGCGUGAGUGAAGAAGGUUUUCGGAUCGUAAAACUCUGUUGUUAGAGAAGAACAAGGAUGAGAGUAAAAUGUUCAUCCCUUGACGGUAUCUAACCAGAAAGCCACGGCUAACUACGUGCCAGCAGCCGCGGUAAUACGUAGGUGGCAAGCGUUGUCCGGAUUUAUUGGGCGUAAAGCGAGCGCAGGCGGUUUCUUAAGUCUGAUGUGAAAGCCCCCGGCUCAACCGGGGAGGGUCAUUGGAAACUGGGAGACUUGAGUGCAGAAGAGGAGAGUGGAAUUCCAUGUGUAGCGGUGAAAUGCGUAGAUAUAUGGAGGAACACCAGUGGCGAAGGCGGCUCUCUGGUCUGUAACUGACGCUGAGGCUCGAAAGCGUGGGGAGCGAACAGGAUUAGAUACCCUGGUAGUCCACGCCGUAAACGAUGAGUGCUAAGUGUUGGAGGGUUUCCGCCCUUCAGUGCUGCAGCAAACGCAUUAAGCACUCCGCCUGGGGAGUACGACCGCAAGGUUGAAACUCAAGGAAUUGACGGGGGCCCCGCACAAGCGGUGAGCAUGUGGUUUAAAUUCGAAGCAACGC
rnacentral:rRNA from 1 species